rnacentral:tRNA from 1 species
GGAGAGGUGGCAGAGUGGUCGAUUGUACCUGACUCGAAAUCAGGCGUACGUUCAAGCGUACCGUGGGUUCGAAUCCCACCCUCUCCGCCA